AACUAGUAUUGACAAAGUUUUCCAACUUAGAAACGCUCUCCGUAACAUUUCUGACCAUUCUAAAAAAUGCAUUUUCUUAUUUGACUGGGUUAGUCAAAUAAGAUUUAUAUUUUGGCGGGAAGCCCUUCGAUUAUUUCCGUAAAUGUUCGGAUCUGAGUCACGUGAUAUGAUUUACCAAACCAAAAUAAUGGCGGACAAUACGAAAGGUGUGUCACGUAUACGAGAAAUAAAUUUUGAGAUUGGGAAAGGAAAAAGCGAAAAGUGGAAAGAAACUUGAUUUAAUUCAAUCAAGGAUAUACUCCGGUAGUGAUUCAAAGCGAUGAAAAGUUCUAAAAAGGGUAAUUAAAACCAAAAGCGACCGUGAAGUUGUUAUCUGAUUGACAGAAUUAAAUCAAUUUCAUCGUCAUCAUGUGUUGCAAUACCACUACCAGGGACAUCAAAGAUGACCUGGACUUCAGUGCAUAUGCAGAGGAGAGUAGCACUAAAGAAAGCCAAUAAAAUCCUUUUGGAGUUGAAUUGAGACACAACCAUUCAUUUCUGGUUUAGUUAUAAAACUGCUACAGACUAUAAACUAUUCAUGAUGAUGGAAUACACCAAUGCCUAGUACAAUCAUGGCCCAUUAGAAACCAGAACAAACCAUGACUGCAAAGGAAAUAAGAUGCACAUAGUCUGAAAGAUCUGGCUGGUGUUCUGAAUAAGAUGACUGCAGAAGUACAGCUGGCAUGUAGGGGUUUCACCAGCACAUCUUGAUGUAUUGUACAAAAGAUUUGCUUACACACUACCUGUUUAUAGGAUGCACAAUCUUCUUGAAGCCAUAGAUUAUAAUAUACAUGCAAAUAGACCAUACAUCACCAACAAGGGGGAUCUGUUAGACUUCAGCGAGUCUGGAUGAAUUAAAGAAGAAGAAAAAGUAUCAUUAUACCAUUUUUCAUGAUGCUAUAACUCUGAGAAUUAGUGACAUGGAGGGGAUAUAUAAAAUAGAAAGUUAGAGGAAGAUGACCCCCACAGACUUUCAAAAUAUUUGGCCCAAGUUAGCCCGAAAGCCUACCCGAGCCAUUCAUGAGGAACAUAAAUCAAGAUAUGAUUGACUUUUUAUGGGAAAGAAUGAUAAAUAGUGUUGUGUUACACUGAUUGCCCAACUAUUCAAACAUAUUUAAGCUGACAUUGAACACCUGGUAUUCAUGAUAGUUUUAUGAAAUAUCUUUUUAGAUAUGGCACUGUAUCUAUCUUGUUUCGAAAAAAAAUUCUCUUGAUUCAUUUGUCAUGACUCAAGGUCUGUUUUUAAUAUUUUGUCAGAAAAAUGACUACUUUUUAUACAAGUGCAAAAUAUUAUCCAAUCUAUUAAAGUAUAAGUGCUGCUAUGAGCUUUAAUGUAGUAACAAAGUUAAAAGUAUUAUUCAAUUAUAUCUUUUGAUAUACAUGUACUAUGUCAUUCACUUUAGCUCAGCUUUUCUUUUUUUUUUUUUUUUUUGAAAAAAGAAAUAGAGGUUGCUGCCGUUGCCUUCUGCAAACUUGAACCUUGUUCAUAACUUUUAAAGUUCUUGGUGUAUUGUCUAACCUUGGCCUUCUUUCAUAAUUGACCUUGACCUUCAAGGUUAAAUGUCUAAAUUUUGGCUUUGCUUGUUAUUUGCUAUUAGUGGCUUUAACUUUAUUGCCCUUUGUUAAUUUUCAUAUUUCAUUUUUGUCUUGGCCAUUUCUCCUAAACUAUAUUGUUCACAAGGCAACACAUCCGACUCGCGGAGAUCUAGUUGUUAUUAGUCUAUGAAUUGUUUGUAGUCCAAUCUAGUUUAUUAGACCAAUGACACAGGGGCAUUUUAUAUAAAAUCCUUGUUCAAUCAAACAAGGCAAGCCUUAAAAUUAUCUUUGUAUUUACUCCCUCAUCCCAUUCCAGUUUAGAUAGGAUAGGUGGGCUGAUAAAAUAUUUAUUUUUGUGCCCCCACUUUAGUGGCGGGCAUUUAGAUUUACCUUUGUCCGUCUGUCCGUAUUUCACCUAGAGUCAUGAAACUUUACUGUAAUGUUGAUCAGCAAGUGUAGUUGUUCACCUCGGUAUUUUCAUCUGGAUAUUUUUAGUAUUUUCAGAGUUACUGCCAUUGAAUUUUUGCAAUUUUCAACUUGUGUCGCAUGUUACUCAAGAAGUAUUUGACCUACAGCAAUGAAACUUUACAGGAAUGUUGAACAUUAUGUGUAGUUGUGCACCUAGGUAUUUUCGUCUGGAUUUAGUAUUUUGAGAGUUAUGGCCCUUGACUUAGUAAAAUUUUGCAAUUUUCAACUUGUGUGGCAUGUAACUCAAAAAGUAUUUGACUUAGAGUCAUGAAACUUUACAGGAAUGUUGAUCAGCAUGUGUAGUUGCGCAUCUGGGUAUUUUCGUCUGGAAUUAUUUAGGAUUUUUAGAGUUAUUGCCCUUGACUUGGUAAAAUUUUGCAGUUUUCAACUUGUGUCACAUGUAACUCAAAAAGGAUUUGACAUAGAGUCAUUAAACCUUACGGGAAGGUUGCUCAGCAUAUUUAGUUUUGCACCUGGGGUUUGGCUUGUGGAUUUAUCCAGUAUUUGUAGAGUUAUUUCCCUUGACUUAGUAAAAAACAUUUCAUUAUGUUGUUAUUUGUUCCUUGAGUGCUUGAGUGAGAAUCAACCAACUUUACAGGAAUAAUGAUCAACAUCACUAAAUUACAGGAAUAAUGAUUUACAUCACUGUGAAGAUAUGAACCUGGGACUUUCAUGUGGAUUUUUUUCAGUUU